UGGGGAAUUUGGACAAUGGGCGCAAGCCUGAUCCAGCAAUGCCGCGUGAGUGAAGAAGGCCUUCGGGUUGUAAAGCUCUUUUGUCAGGGAAGAAACGGCUGAGGUUAAUACCUUUGGCUAAUGACGGUACCUGAAGAAUAAGCACCGGCUAACUACGUGCCAGCAGCCGCGGUAAUACGUAGGGUGCAAGCGUUAAUCGGAAUUACU
rnacentral:rRNA from 1 species